CCUACGGGAGGCAGCAGUGAGGAAUAUUGGUCAAUGGCCGGAAGGCUGAACCAGCCAAGCCGCGUGAAGGACGAAGGUGCCAAGCAUUGUAAACUUCUUUUGUCAAGGGACAAAAUCAGGCUCGAGAGCCUGACCGAGGGUACCUGAAGAAAAAGCAUCGGCUAACUCCGUGCCAGCAGCCGCGGUAAUACGGAGGAUCCGAGCGUUAUCCGGAUUUAUUGGGUUUAAAGGGUUCGUAGGCGGCAUGUAAAGUCAGGUGUUAAAGGCGCAGGCUCAACCUGUGUCUGGCACUUGAUACUUGCAGGCUGGAAUGCGGUAGAGGUAAAGGGAAUUCGUGGUGUAGCGGUGAAAUGCUUAGAUAUCGGGAGGAACAUCGAUGGCGUAGGCGGUUUGCUGGGCCGUAAUUGACGCUGAGGAACGAAAGCCAGGGUAGCGAAUGGGAUUAGAUACCCCUGUAGUC
rnacentral:rRNA from 1 species